rnacentral:rRNA from 1 species
UACGUAGGGGGCGAGCGUUGUUCGGAUUUACUGGGCGUAAAGGGCGCGCAGGCGGCUAUCCAAAUCAGGCGUGAAAGCCCCGGGCUUAACCUGGGAGGUGCGUCUGGGACUGGGUGGCUAGAGUUCGGGAGAGGAGAGUGGAAUUCCCAGUGUAGAGGUGAAAUUCGUAGAUAUUGGGAAGAACACCGGUGGCGAAGGCGGCUCUCUGGACCGAGACUGACGCUGAGGCGCGAAAGCGUGGGGAGCAAACAGG